GAUGAACGCUGGCGGCGUGCCUAAUACAUGCAAGUCGAGCGAACGGACGAGAAGCUUGCUUCUCUGAUGUUAGCGGCGGACGGGUGAGUAACACGUGGAUAACCUACCUAUAAGACUGGGAUAACUUCGGGAAACCGGAGCUAAUACCGGAUAAUAUUUUGAACCGCAUGGUUCAAAAGUGAAAGACGGUCUUGCUGUCACUUAUAGAUGGAUCCGCGCUGCAUUAGCUAGUUGUAAGGUAACGGCUUACCAAGGCAACGAUGCAUAGCCGACCUGAGAGGGUGAUCGGCCACACUGGAACUGAGACACGGUCCAGACUCCUACGGGAGGCAGCAGUAGGGAAUCUUCCGCAAUGGGCGAAAGCCUGACGGAGCAACGCCGCGUGAGUGAUGAAGGUCUUCGGAUCGUAAAACUCUGUUAUUAGGGAAGAACAUAUGUGUAAGUAACUGUGCACAUCUUGACGGUACCUAAUCAGAAAGCCACGGCUAACUACGUG
rnacentral:rRNA from 1 species